GACGAACGCUGGCGGCGUGCUUAACACAUGCAAGUCGAACGGAAAGGCCCUGCUUUUGUGGGGUGCUCGAGUGGCGAACGGGUGAGUAACACGUGAGUAACCUGCCCUUGACUUUGGGAUAACUUCAGGAAACUGGGGCUAAUACCGGAUAGGAGCUCCUGCUGCAUGGUGGGGGUUGGAAAGGUUCGGCGGUUGGGGAUGGACUCGCGGCUUAUCAGCUUGUUGGUGGGGUAGUGGCUUACCAAGGCUUUGACGGGUAGCCGGCCUGAGCGGGUGACCGGCCACAUUGGGACUGAGAUACGGCCCAGACUCCUACGGGAGGCAGCAGUGGGGAAUAUUGCACAAUGGGCGGAAGCCUGAUGCAGCACCGCCGCGUGCGGGAUAACGGCCUUCGGGUUGUAAACCGCUUUCGCCUGUGACGAAGCGUGAGUGACGGUAAUGGGUAAAGAAGCACCGGCUAGCUACGUG
rnacentral:rRNA from 1 species